rnacentral:rRNA from 1 species
GACGAACGCUGGCGGCGUGCUUAACACAUGCGAGUCGUACGGUAAGGCCCUUUCGGGGGUACACGAGUGGCGAACGGGUGCGUAACACGUGAGUAACCUGCCCACAACUUUGGGAUAACGCUAGGAAACUGGUGCUAAUACUGGAUAUGUGCCCCUGCUGCAUGGUGGGGGUUGGAAAGCUCCGGCGGUUGUGGAUGGACUCGCGGCCUAUCAGCUUGUUGGUGGGGUAGUGGCCUACCAAGGCGGCGACGGGUAGCCGGCCUGAGAGGGUGACCGGCCACAUUGGGACUGAGAUACGGCCCAGACUCCUACGGGAGGCAGCAGUGGGGAAUAUUGCACAAUGGGCGCAAGCCUGAUGCAGCAACGCCGCGUGCGGGAUGACGGCCUUCGGGUUGUAAACCGCGUUCAGCAGGGACGAAGCUUUUUGUGACGGUACCUGCAGAAGAAGCACCGGCUAACUACGUG